CCCUUAGAUGUUCUGGGCCGCACGCGCGCUACACUGACGAAUGCAACGAGCUUAUAACCUUGGCCGAAAGGUCUGGGUAAUCUCCAAAUUUCGUCGUGAUGGGGAUAGAUUAUUGCAAUUAUUAAUCUUCAACGAGGAAUGCCUAGUAAGCGCAAGUCAUCAGCUUGCGUUGAUUACGUCCCUGCCCUUUGUACACACCGCCCGUCGCUCCUACCGAUUGAAUGGUCCGGUGAAGCGUUCGGACCGUGCCUUUGGACGGUUCGCCGUCUGUUGGCUGCGGGAAGUUCGUUAAACCUUAUCAUUUAGAGGAAGGAGAAGUCGUAACA
rnacentral:rRNA from 1 species